rnacentral:rRNA from 1 species
AUGUGGAGCAGUUCUGCGAGUUUUCGGGCUAAGGAGAAGCUGGAGCUCGUGCACGGAGACCUGUGCGGCCCGGUGACGCCAGCCACACCAGGAGGUCGACGCUACUUCCUGCUGCUCGUCGACGAUCUCUCCCGCUACAUGUGGGUGAUGAUCCUCGGCAGUAAGGGAGAAGCGGCGGACGCCAUCAGGCGCGCGCAGGUUGGUGUGGAGGCGGAGAGCGGCCGCAAAUUGCGCGUGUUGCGCACUGACAACGGCGGCGAGUUCACGGCGGCUGAAUUCGCGUCGUACUGCGCCGAUGAGGGCAUCCAGCGCCACUACUCCGCGCCGUACAGCCCGCAGCAAAACGGCGUCGUCGAGCGGCGCAACCAGACGGUUGUGGGGAUGGCUCGGGCUCUCCUCAAGCAGAGAGGGAUGCCGGCUGUCUUCUGGGGAGAGGCGGUGCUAACGGCCGUCUACAUCCUCAACCGCUCUCCUACUAAGGCACUCGACGGCAGAACUCCGUACGAGGCCUGGCAUGGGCGGAAGUCGGCGGUCUCUCAUUUGCGGGUCUUUGGCUGCCUUGCGUUCGCCAAGGAGCUCGGCCACAUCGGCAAGCUCGACGACAGGAGCACUCCGGGAGUCUUCAUCGGCUACGCGGAGGGCUCAAAGGCCUACCGCAUCCUCGACCCAAAGACACAACGUGUGCGCACAGCGCGAGACGUCGUGUUCAACGAAGGGCGAGGGUGGCAAUGGGACAAGGCGGUGGACGACGGCUCGACGCCGACGUAUGACGACUUCAUUGUCGAGUACGCUCACUUCAAGGAAGCUGGGGGACCGGCGACGCCGCAUACUCCAGCCCCGGCGGUCGCCACUCCGGGCUCGUCUUCAUCAGCACCAGCUCACGCAGAGCACAACCCGAUGAAGUUCGCUUCCCCGCUCACUCACGACGAGGAGCGGGUCGACGCAUGGUAUGGAGGCGAACCGCUGCGGUACCGUACGAUGGAUAAUGUGCUCGGCGACCAGCCGGUGCCAGGACUGGUGCCACGUGACCUGGAGGCGCAGCUACAGCUCGUGUGUGAAGACGGCGAACCACGGUCCUUUGCAGAGGCCGAGAGAGACGCGGCAUGGCGCGCCGCGAUGAAGUUGGAGAUGGAUGCGGUCGAGCAAAACCGCACCUGGGAGCUUGCUGAUCUCCCUCGAGGUCACCGCGCAAUCACCCUUAAGUGGGUGUUCAAGCUGAAGAGGGAUGGAGCCGGCGCCAUCAUCAAGCACAAGGCUCGUUUGGUGGCCCGAGGCUUCUUGCAGCAGGAAGGAGUCGACUUCGACGACGCUUUCGCUCCCGUGGCACGGAUGGAGUCCUCGGCAUUCCUCAAUGGCGACUUGAAGGAGGAAGUCUACGUGCAUCAGCCACCGGGGUUUACGAUUCCCGGCCAGGAGGGCAAGGUGCUCCGCCUGCGCAAGGCUCUCUAUGGCCUGCGGCAGGCACCCAGGGCGUGGAACGCCAAGCUGGACUCCACGCUGAAGAAGAUGGGUUUCGAGCAGAGCCCGCAUGAGGCUGCCGUCUACCGACGGGGGAGUGGAGGAAAUGCCCUGCUGGUGGGCGUCUACGUUGACGACCUGGUAAUCACCGGCACCAAAGAUGCAGAGGUGGCGGCGUUCAAGGAAGACAUGAAGGCCACGUUCCAGAUGAGUGACCUGGGGCUCCCUCUCCUUCUAUCUAGGGAUUGA